UACGUAGGGGGCAAGCGUUGUCCGGAUUCAUUGGGCGUAAAGAGCGUGUAGGCGGCCAUGCAGGUCAGCUGUGAAAACUCGAGGCUCAACCUCGAGACGUCGGUUGAAACCGUAUGGCUAGAGUCCGGAAGAGGAGAGUGGAAUUCCCGGUGUAGCGGUGAAAUGCGCAGAUAUCGGGAAGAACACCCGUGGCGAAGGCGGCUCUCUGGGACGGUACUGACGCUGAGACGCGAAAGCGUGGGGAGCGAACAGG
rnacentral:rRNA from 1 species